rnacentral:piRNA from 1 species
UUAACGAAAUAGCUAGCUGUU